rnacentral:misc_RNA from 1 species
UAACUGCGUUAAGUAGCGUGAAUUGCAGACGCAUUGAACGUUAAAGUUUUGAACGCAUAUUGCGCCGUAGGAUUCCUAACCUACGGCACAUCUGGUUGAGGGUCGUGACCCAUAAACACAGCUGACGAGCGGCUGUACUAUGUAUAAUUGGUUGUUCAUAAAUUUGGUGCCCGACUUGUGCCAGAUAUGUUCGACCAUAACGUAGAGAGUGCGCUUAGCUUUAAAGUGCAUUUGCCACAUGGGCGGUUGACCAUCUCAUGCUUAUGGGACAGCCGGUUGGGUAUUCUACUACGCUUAUGUAUAUGCCCAACUGUGAGUUGUACCGAGGUGAUGUCAGCACGAUUAUCGCUUAUGCCUGGUGUAUUCUCGCUUUCCCGACCUCAACUCAGGUGUGAAUACC